rnacentral:tRNA from 2 species
GCCGGCCUGGAGCAGGCCGCCGAGAUCCGCCUGGCCGCCAGCCGGGCCGGACAGCCGUUCUACGCGGUCGUGCCGCUG